rnacentral:rRNA from 1 species
UGGUGGAGUGAUUUGUCUGGUUAAUUCCGUUAACGAACGAGACCUCAGCCUAUUAAAUAGUAUUGUCAUUUAUGGAAACAUAGGCAAAGACUUCUUAAAGGGACAUGUUGGGUUUACCAGCGGGAAGUUUGAGGCAAUAACA